rnacentral:rRNA from 1 species
AGUCACUGACAUUAGAUACCCGCGUAGUCCCAGCCGUAAACAAUGUGCGUUAGGUGUGUCGGUAACCACGCGUAACUGAUGCGCCGAAGAGAAAUCGUGAAACGCACCACCUGGGAAGUACGGUCGCAAGGCUGAAACUUAAAGGAAUUGGCGGGGAGCACCACAACAGGUGGAGCCUGCGGUUUAAUUGGAUUCAACGCCGGACAUCUCACCGGAUAAGACAGCUGAAUGAUUGUCAAUCUGAAGGUUUUACAUGACUAGCUG